rnacentral:rRNA from 1 species
GUAUGACUCUCAGUAAUGGAUAUCUUGGCUCUCGCCAUGAUGAAGAACGUAGCGAAAUGUGAUACUUAGUGUGAAUUGCAGAAUCCCAUGAAUCAUCCAGCGUUUGAAUGUAAGUUACGCCCGAGGCCUCGGCCCAGGACACGUCUGCUUGGGCAACACAU